UGGGGAAUAUUGGACAAUGGGCGCAAGCCUGAUCCAGCCAUGCCGCGUGAGUGAUGAAGGCCCUAGGGUUGUAAAGCUCUUUCGCCAGGGACGAUAAUGACGGUACCUGGAUAAGAAGCCCCGGCUAACUUCGUGCCAGCAGCCGCGGUAAUACGAAGGGGGCUGGCGUUGUUCGGAAUCACUGGGCGUAAAGCGCACGUAGGCGGAUCUUUAAGUCAGGGGUGAAAUCCCGAGGCUCAACCUCGGAACUGCCUUUGAUACUGGAGGUCUCGAGUCCGGGAGAGGUGAGUGGAACUGCGAGUGUAGAGGUGAAAUUCGUAGAUAUUCGCAAGAACACCAGUGGCGAAGGCGGCUCACUGGCCCGGUACUGACGCUGAGGUGCGAAAAGCGUGGGGAGCAAAACAGGAUUAGAUACCCUGGUAGUCCACGCCGUAAACUAUGGAUGCUAGCCGUUGGGCAGCUUGCUGUUCAGUGGCGCAGCUAACGCUUUAAGCAUCCCGCCUGGGGAGUACGGUCGCAAGAUUAAAACUUAAAUGAAUUGAC
rnacentral:rRNA from 1 species